AGCCCUUAGGCUGCCCCGCCGCGUCCCACCCCCUCGCUAAAGUCACACACCCCAACUCAGGAAAGGCUCCGAGCAGCAGCCCCGCGGGGCCGGUGUUGAGAAUGAUUUUGGCACCGGCAGGCAGGGGCGACGCCGCGAGAAGCGGGGGCACUCUUCCAACUUUUCCUCCCGCGCCCCCACCGCGAGAGGCCAGGCCGCCCGCGCCUAGCAAAACGACGCUUCCCACCGGCUUGGCGCGCCUGGCCGGACUCCGCGUCCCCACCAUGCAGCCGGCCGAGGUAUGGAUGCUUGCUUGGCUUCUAUUGUGUGGUCUUCCUUUCCCUGGAUCAGAGACCUUCAAGGUAAGCAAGCGCCCAAUGCGGACUCGAACCUGCGCUGACCGGCCUGAAGAGCUUCUGGAACAGCUGUAUGGGAGACUCACGGCAGGCAUGCUCAGUGCCUUCCACCACACCCUGCAGCUGGAGCCGCUGGAGAAAGAUCGUAAUAUCAGUUGUCCAGCAGGGGGCAGACCAGCUACGGACAAGAAGUACCAACUCCCCAUCAAUCUCAACAGUGUCUCCCCUUGGUCUUAUAGAAUGUCUUACGAUCCUGCAAGGUAUCCAAAGUACAUUCCUGAAGCCUACUGCCUGUGCAAGGGCUGUCUCACUGGUGUUUACGGUGAGGAGAAUUUCCACUUUCGGAGUAUCCCCGUGUUUAUGCCGACUGUCAUCUUGCGCCGAACCACGUCCUGCACUGGAGGCCGCUAUGUAUACACAGAGGAUUACGUCACUAUCCCUGUGGGCUGCACCUGUGUACCAGAGCACGAAAAGGAAGCAGAGGGUGUCAAUUCCAGCAUAGACAAGCAAGCAGUAAAAUUGCUGGGGAAUCAGAAUGACAAGCCAGCAUCAGAAUGAAGAAUGCAAAAGAAACCUAAGGACAAAGGUUGCUUUGCAUGUCUUUUUUAGUUUCAGGGGAUUACAGAACUCAUUCACACACAUGCCUGUAACAUGAUGAGUGCCGCAGCCUUAAGUGAUCAUCUGUGUGAAUGAGCCAUUGAAGAAUAAUACACACACACAGAACACCUCAAAUAUAAUUCAUUUCAGUGGAGUCAGCUCAACAGAUGCAGCUGUGAGGCACCAGUUUUUGGGAGGUCAAGUCAUGCAUGUGCAUAGGUAAAGCCAGCCCACAGAAUAAGUGUGCUUUGAAAAUGUAUAAUUACAAAUGUUGAAGACAGAUGUUGAAGCCAGUUGAACUCAAAUGUGGUGAAUGGAUGGAGCCCAUAGUGGAGUAUGGCUGAGUCUUACUGAAAUCUGAGAGUACCAGCAUGAGCCUAAGCAUACUUACUUGGAAGUAAAGCCUGCCGUAAGACUUGCUAUCUAAUGUUUUGAAACUGCAACCUUACACACUGCAUCAUUCUCUUCAGCUCCUCUCCACUGAAGACCAGUUCAUACUUUGGGGAGCAAGUGCACUUCCCACUUGUGGAUUAGUGUUUGCAGUACCAGAGCCUAUAAAGGGUGAAGAGGAGAUGCCCAUCUCCAAACAUGAUGGAUGCACGCUGCAGACCUGCAAUUGUCCUGGGGUUCCCUGUUACAGGUCCACCAUUUUGUGACCCAACUGUUUAGAGGUGCAUGGUAUACAGUGUUUUGCAUCAUACUUUACAAUGAGCAACUGCCAAAUCAGAGGAAUGCAUAUACAGCAGGCAUUGUUAUCAUGUACACUGUAAUAGUGUGAAUUGGUUUUUAUGUACUUAUAAGCUCGGCUACAGCCUCAUGUUACUGAGGGCAAGUGAGGACCACUGAGAGUGAGGGAGAGUGAGGGCAACAUAAGAAUAAGAUGUUUUUCCGAGAAGUGCUGAAAAAUGCUACUUUAUGACUACGUGCAAUUUUUCCCUCAGAAAACCCUGACUAGUUUUGUUUCAGCUUUAAUUGUUCUUUCUGCAUUCAAAGGGAGAAAACAUUGCACAAAAUAUCAUUUCAAAGCAGCAGGAUCACACUCCCUGAAAAAGUAGUGUCACCACAAUGCAAAGAAAUUGCAGUCUAUAAACAGUUCACUAAAGGGGCAGUGCAAACUGCAAGAAGUCAAGUACUCUACUGAUGUUAAUUGGAAGUAAACUACUGGGGGGGUUUCCUGGUGUACCCCACAAAUCUUGACAUGUAAUCACAAAAUACCUCUGCUUGCACAGUUAUCCAAAGGCACAAACCAGGGCAGGCAUCUUAAUGUAAUGAUUACAUUACACAAUCUCGUCUGUUUAGUGGGUGUGCAUCAACCCUAUAUA